rnacentral:tRNA from 1 species
GGUCAUGGCUUAGGGGUAGAGCACCUGUCUAGCAUGUGUGAGGUACUGGGUUCAAUUCUCAGCACCA